AGUGUAGUUUCUGGAGCACGAUUUCUGUACUGUUGAAUAUCUUGCAAUAAUUCCGGCAAAAGUAGAUGGGAUGGAUCUUCAUUUGUAUGUGCUUGCUGAAAAGCGGAGGGAAUACUUGCAUAGCUUGGAGGAGGUGAAGGGCCAGCACGCAUGUUAUCAGAAUGUUCCAAGGAAACUGAAUGUUGAGUGUCAGGGUCCAAUGCAAAUGGCCUAGGAAGUGUAGUUUCUGGAGCACGAUUUCUGUACUGUUGAAUAUCUUGCAAUAAUUCCGGCAAAAGUAGAUGGGAUGGAUCUUCAUCUGUAUGUGCUUGCUGAAAAGCGGAGGGAAUACUUGCAUAGCUUGGAGGAGGUGAAGGGCCAGCAAGCAUGUUAUCAGAAUGUUCCAAGGAAACUGAAUGUUGAGUGUCAGGGUCCAAUGCAAAUGGCCUUGGAAGUGUAGUUUCUGGAGCACGAUUUCUGUACUGUUGAAUAUCUUGCAAUAAUUCCGGCAAAAG
rnacentral:lncRNA from 1 species